rnacentral:tRNA from 1 species
UGGGGCGUGGCCAAGCGGUAAGGCACGGGCCUUUGGAGCCCGUAUCGCAGGUUCGAAUCCUGCCGCCCCAGCCA